GCCUGCUCGAGAGAAAUGCUGGAAGGCCAAAUAUGCUGCAAUCAGUAGGGAGAUAAUGCUCCCUUCUUGAGUUCCCCUUAAGUUUUGGACUUGAUAUGGGGCCACAAUCACCAAAAGUAAUGAUAUGAACGGUAUCUCCAAUUCACCAGGGAUGAAGAAGAACAGUCGAACAAGAAUUGCCAGAAAAGCGCUCCAAAUGCCA
rnacentral:misc_RNA from 1 species